rnacentral:rRNA from 1 species
GACGAACGCUGGCGGCGUGCCUAAUACAUGCAAGUCGAGCGAGUCUGCCUUGAAGAUCGGAGUGCUUGCACUCUGUGAAACAAGAUACAGGCUAGCGGCGGACGGGUGAGUAACACGUGGGUAACCUGCCCAAGAGAUCGGGAUAACACCUGGAAACAGAUGCUAAUACCGGAUAACAACAGAUAAUGCCUAUCAACUGUUUAAAAGAUGGUUCUGCUAUCACUCUUGGAUGGACCUGCGGUGCAUUAGCUAGUUGGUAGGGUAACGGCCUACCAAGGCGAUGAUGCAUAGCCGAGUUGAGAGACUGAUCGGCCACAUUGGGACUGAGACACGGCCCAAACUCCUACGGGAGGCAGCAGUAGGGAAUCUUCCACAAUGGACGCAAGUCUGAUGGAGCAACGCCGCGUGAGUGAAGAAGGGUUUCGGCUCGUAAAGCUCUGUUGUUGGUGAAGAAGGACAGGGGUAGUAACUGACCUUUGUUUGACGGUAAUCAAUUAGAAAGUCACGGCUAACUAAGUG